rnacentral:lncRNA from 1 species
UCAUCUGAACCAUAUAUGCAUAGAAGAAGAUAGGAGAAAGUGUAAGACACACAAGGAUCAUACAGGUUGUCCCGACAGGUAGAUGGCUCAGAGAUUUCAUCAAAUUUAUUGUAGGAAAGGUCUAUCACGCUGAAAGAAGAUAGGAGAAAGUGUAAGACACACAAGGAUCAUACAGGUUGUCCCGACAGGUAGAUGGCUCAGAGCUUUCAUCAAAUUUAUUGUAGGAAAGGUCUAUCACGCUGCAUCAAAGAUAUCCGACAUGGUUAAGAGCUCAUCAAGUAUUUUCAAUCUAAUGAGAGGCCUUCACUUAGAG